UUGGGCUCAGAACCUGCGAGGAUGGCAGCAGUGUCCAGCAGUGAAGACUGAAGGUGUCCACAGCCGUGACAGGGGCUUCUGGGUCCUCUUGCUUGCUUUUCUUCACAGGAAAGAAGUCCCUCCUAGCUCCUAGGGGCUUUGAUUGUGGGCGGCAAGGGUGUGGCAGAGAUUAUGCUCCAAGACACAGAAUCUGAGAAGAUGCAUCCAGUUUUGCCAAGUGGUUUCACUACCAAGGCCAGUCUCCAUCUAUGACAGACCCAAGGAAGAUCAUUUAUUACUAGAAUCUAGUCAUUUAGGAGCUUGUGUGCUCCCUGGGUGGGCCAUCUGCACUGGUGUGAGGUUUAUCUCAUUGAAGGGAAAACCAGAGGAAUCUUCUUGAUUAUCAGCACCAGGAA
rnacentral:lncRNA from 1 species